AGCCAGAAAACAUCUACUCUUGAGCCAACUCCCUCUUUUCCUAAGGAUCUCUGAUGAGCAAGGGUCAGAGGGAAAGACCCCCCACCCCUUUUUUAAAUCAUGUGUCGUGUAUAGGGUUUGAGCUGAUGUGUACAGAUGUUCACAGCUAAUUCCUCCUUCUGUCCUUUGUCCACUGUGGGUGCCUGCUGGUUGGCUUAGUUUCCUACCACUUCCCACCUUCCGUGGCCUCUCUCAUGCCACACUAAUCGCUCCACGGACAUUUCCGAUUCCUUUGCAGACGGCUAUGGUAACUAUGGUAACCAGUCCCGUGAGAGUCCCCUCUGGUUGAAUUGCUCCCUUAAAGUGGAACAGACGCUAAUUCUGAUGAAGAAGACUUCGCUAUCAGCCUGUGCCCUGCCAGAGCUCUGGUCAGUGGCUGCCCAGCUUGCUAAGAUGUCAUUUCUGUCAUGAGGUUAUUCCCACAGGAACCUCAGUACCUCUAUGAAAGGAUGGUGAUGUGAAUUGCUCUCACUUCCUUUUACUGGGUGUUAUAGAGAGGACGAGAGCCAGGACGCGUAGAGACACAGGCACACAGAGAGCAAGGCUCCCAGAGCCAUGCUUCAUCAGCUGUUGGAACAAGAAAAGGAAUUCAAGUGAACAGGUCCCCAACUUACUUACUUCCAUUUUGUUAAUGUGGUUUCUCAGUUAUUUAUGCUUACAGUUUUUAUCUUUUUAAAUGGAAAAUGUUUGAAAACGGGGAAAUGAAUAGAGAGGACUCUUCGGGGUCCCAUGGUAUGAAACUUUAGAUUGCAACAUUUGUUUAUGAGUGAACAAGCCCCAUGUUAUUUUUUCUGAGAAGAUGGGACCAAGUCCAGAUUAUUAUUGGAGAGAUAUUAGAGUUCGGCUCAUGCUAUAUUCUCAGAUCUCACUCAGUGAAGUUACCACCAAUAUGUAUUGAUAAAACCUAAUGUGCAUACCACGGCCUGCCAAGGCCACCUCUGUUGAUGUGAUUCACGUAGAAUCUGAGGAAGAGAGGUGCCUGGGGCUCUCUUUGCCUGGGCUUCCGGAUGGUUACUUGUGGAUAGUAUACAGAGAGGCUGCAUUUCUCAAACCAAGGGCUCCCUGUCUUCCACCUCAGCCCAGCUGGUACCCGAGGGCAUGUUUGCAUUUUUCCUGCUUUUUGUUCAUUGAGAUGAAGGCUUCAGUGGGUCCACAGGAAUGUGAGUGAAGGCUAGCCCAGGCCAGCAUUCUUCCAACACUCAUUUGAAAGUGUUUUUUAUUGUAUAUCAGCAGGAAGCAGUGGGAAGGUAUGUCAGACUCUGGCUUCCUUCUGUUGUUUCAUAUAACAGGACUUGUGUUUCUGAAUUCUCAACCUGUCUACUGUAGAGAGAGGCCUCUGUGAUUCCAGCAUUGGAGAGAGCUGGGACAGGUAUACAACCACCGUAUGAGGAAUCUUUAGAUGUGAGAGGUUCAUUAAUUCUCACAUCAGACAGCCCUGAUCGAAGUGAAUCCCCCACCCCACCCCAGGACCCCUAUGCAUCUUCACUCCUGUGUCUAGAGAAACAGUCACAGAAGAAAGGCUGUUGGAGCGGACUUGGGCUCUGAGGCCGGCUCAUUAUUUGGUGUUUACAGCAGAGGGCUCCAAGCUGAAACACCACUUUAACUUUCAGGAGUCUGCUUUGUCUUUGCUUUACCCAGCCAGCUCCUGGCUGCCUUUUCUAAGACGACUGCCAGCAGCCUAAUUUCUAUAAUUCAGGUGAUAAAAGUGCUAAGGAUAAAAGUCCUUCACUGACAAACAGCAAAUCUCUAAUUUAUUCCGUUUAAUGCAACAAUAGCUUAAGUGUCCUGUGUAACCAUCAGGGUGUUGAUAAUAACUUGGAAUCUUCUGAGAUAUUAGGACCAGCUUUAAACAAACAAACAAAAAUGUUUUGACUUCAAUACUGUUGCCAUGUAUUCUGUCUUAUGGAGCGGGCUUUAAAUCCAGUCAGAAAAUGCUUGGUUACUCCUGUGAUGUUCGAGCCACUGUCACACCAGUAGGCAUUGUCACCUUAGCCUUUCUUGUAGCUUUCUGGGUGCACAGCUGGCUAAGAUUAAUUACGUUUCUCUCUGGCUGGCUGUAUCGCAUCUUUUGGUGCUUUGAAAGGAAAGCAGGAAGGAAGCCUGGGUCAGUAUCUGCUUGGUUUCUCUGUGAUCUGUGACUCAAGCAUGUUGUGACUUCAGAAUAUGCAGGUAGCUCACAGGGGCUAGAGAAGGACCCCCACUACUGCUAUUCCAAGAGGAAUAUAAUAUUAAAUUGUCUUUUAGUGACUUCCUGAUAUACCCAUAGACUGGUUUGUUUCUUGACCCUCAUUUUGCAAUAGAUCAUGAUUAACAUAGAGACCCAUAACUGGCCAAUCUGCCCUGAAUAAAAGGGUGCGGCAUGCUCAUCCCCAAAUGGGACACCUGUAUUAUAUUCCCUCACAAGGCUCAAGGAUCGUUGUUGAAGAAGAGGCAGAAAGACUCUAAAAGUGAGACUCGGUAGAUGACUACAACACACAGUGCUUUCCAGACACAGCAGGGCAGUUAUACUGUGAACUUACAGAAUUAUGACAGCACACACAGGACCUUUACAAGCUCUAGUCAGCCAAAGUCCCAGCAUAGAUGUGGCAGGGUGGUGGGCAUAGAGUCCCAUCCAUAGCUGAGGAGCUAUUGAUAAGUGAUAGCUGCUGUGAAAGGGAGAGUCGAUUUCCUUCAAGGGUGAGGGCCUUGGUAGGUCAACCACACUCCAGGGAAUAGUGCCACACCCAAGACUAUUUGGAAUGUACAAGUGAGACUCUAUGGAUUUGGGAAAAAAAUAAGGAGGCAUGGAAUUGGGUAGGUAAGUGAUGGGGGGAGGAUCUUGCAGAAGUUGGGAAGAGAAGCAAAUAUUUUCAAAAUACAUUGUAUAAGUUAUUCAAAGAAUGAAUAAAGCAAUCAAAAAUAAAUGUUUGUAUUGCAUUCAUAUAUGUUUAUGGUGUAUGCAGAUGCAUGGGAGGUUCUGCAUGUGUUGUUGCGAGGUCAGAGGGCAGCUGUUGAGAGUCAUGUCUCUCUUUCCACUGUGUGGGUUCGGGGGUUGAACUCAGGUCGGCAGGCUUUAUGGCAAGUGCCUUUACAUGCUGAGCCAUCUCACUAGCCUGGUCUUGUUCAUUUUAAUAUUCUAAUUAUUUUCUUUUGUUUUUUGAUUACAUAAAAUCACUUUAUUGUAAUGAACUCAAAUGAAAAUAUCACACAGCUAGAUUAAUCACCUGUCCUGUUUCAAACUCUAUAUAUGUCAAUGAACUUCAGUAAUUAGAAUAGGUGUUCUGAAGCUAUGGAGUGCUGGUUAGGGCUUUACAUUUUACCACCAAUUACAUUCCUAUGUGUUUGACCACCAUAAAAACAGACCUAAAAAUGUCCAUGCACAGAUGAAUGGACAGUGGAAAUGUGGCACAUAUACAAGAGGGAGUAUUUUUCAGUUGUAAAAUAAAAAGAAUUUAAAGGAAAAUGGAUGGAUUCAGAAAGUAUACUAAGUAAGGUGACCCAAACUUGGAAACAUCAGCAAAAACAAAAAAUGCUUGUUAUCCCUUCUAUGGGGAUCUUAGACUAUGUUGUAAAUAUGCAAACAGGAUUAAGUGUGGAUGCAGAAUGACAUUUGAAAAGGAGACCCAGAUGGUGAGGAUGAAGGGGCUAUGGGUGAAGGACACGAGACAUGAAAGAAGAUGUAAGGCUACGGUUCUCUAGCUUAAACCUGAUAGUCUUGAUUCUUCUUUUGUUUAUUUUUAUACUCCAUAAUUAUAUUCAGUUGGUUAUAUCUUUGCAACUUACUACAUAUUGGGUUGAAAAGAAUCCGGCUUUGUACUAAACUGAUGCUACUUUAUGUAACCUAGCAAUUGGGAUUUUUUUUUGUUUGUUUUUUGACAAAUUUAUAGAUUGUAUAAUCUGUUCGUGAGAUGCUUGCAGUUUGUUAGAGUUAUCGGACAAAUGUGUCCAGCCGUGACUUCCACUGUACAGUUAUGGCCCAAGAAACCAGAUGAAGCAGCACACAUUCCACGUCUCAUUUGAAUGGUGAAUGGUAGGAAAAUUGGAAUCAUUCCUAGGAAAGAAAUGAAACAUCUUCUGUUUUGAAAGCAAAAAUAUACUCCUUUGAUUGACAGGGAUUUCCUUGGCGGAAAUGAAGACCCGCGUGGACUUAGAGAUCAAAGGCCUUUGGUAGCUGUUCCUAAUGACAACACAUAUUCUGCUGUUUGGGGUUUGUUUUUAUAUGAAAACUUUUCCAGACAGGGUUUGUCCAGUUGCCUUUUCUUCUCCUGUCCCUAAUCUUGCUUCUGUAUCUUCUGUCCAUGGCAGCUACCAACAUCUCACACAUCAUCUUUCCUCUCUCCUGAAGUCAGCUGCACAUGAUCCCAGGGUUUGCUAGUUGCUUUUUUCUGUAUUUCUGUCCACGAUAAAAACCACACAUAUGAGCUACUUGAAGAAGGAGGUCUGGGGUUGGUUUUCUCCUCUCCACCAUUAACCUCAGAGGAGUGCUGUCUCCUGGGGGUCCUUCCUGUCUAGUGUCAUUCCACUCUUGACUGUCAGGAAUGGGAAAGACCUUUGAGGCUCCAUCGUUGCCCUCAGCGAGUGAUCCUCUCUGCAAGGCUUCCUUACCACUCCAUGAUCCAAGAUAGCCUGGUGAUCUAAGAUAACCUCUCAUUUUGGCAAAGAGGGUCCCCUUCCUCUGUCAUUACUUUGCAUUUUGCUUGCAGUCUUUUGUCCUUCUUAACCUGCACUGUCAAUAUCCAUUCCAUGAAAUCUAUAGGCUGGAAUAGGAUACAUGACUGCUUUAAAGCCUUAAUGGAAAAGGGAAAUAAAGAAAAGUUGGGCUCAUGAUGAUGAUGGAACUGGCCAGAGCAGUAGCAUCAUCAGGAAGAGACAAGGGCUGAGAAUAAGUGAGAGUUGAUGUCCUUAGGGCUGCUCAGGCAACACACUCAAUCCCUGGCCCUGCCAUUACUAUAACCUAGAGCGAAGAGGAUGUGUCUGCCACAUCAGAAUGGAAUGCUGUUGCCAAUCAGCCAACAAAUUUACCCCAUCAGCCCAGAUCCCAUCUAGUCUGCUCCAUACGUGAGAAACAGAUUAUGCCUGUCGGCCUGGCCUUCAGUGGCCUCUUCACAAACCCCACUGUCUCUAAGAAGAAAACAAAAAACAAACAAACAAAAAACAAAAACAAACAACAACAAACCAGUGUACCAUUGAUUGAGAAGUCUAUAGUCAGAAUGUGCAAUUUAUUUCUGGCAGCUGUCUAGACACAUAUCUAAGUUAGUGAUUCAUAUGUGCAAUACCAACUUCAAUGUGGAGAGGAUUUUAAACCAUAAACUCGACUAUAUAAUGUAAGGAUUUCAAAACCAAACACUACAUGCCUAUAUUUAUAGAUUUAGCUAUACAGAAUACAACAAGACAUCAGGCUUAUUUUCCUGCCUCAGGCCUACUGGUACUACAAGACUAUGAUGCAGCCUAAGAAAACACUACAUUUUAAUUUCAGGGCAGGUAGCGCCACACAUCAGCAGUACCCAGGAGGGAUGGGGGCAGGGUGAGAAUAGCUCUGUGCUCCUGUGUAGACCAAGCAGGACUUUAGGGGAAUUCCAGUGUUAUUAGCCAGCAAGUUCAAGAGUUCAGAAGAGCAUAAGGACCCUACAUUAUAAUUGAUAUACUUCAUGAAACCAGAAGUGAAUUGCACAAUAUUAGAGACAACUAAUACCAUUUAAUCCUCUGCAGUCCUCUGGAUGGCAGAGGCUCCUCGGGCUCAGUCCUAUGAUUCCUUUCCUAUAUCAUUAACUUUUACAGUGAUGUGAUUUAAAAUCAGGUUUUACAUCUCCAACUCAAAGACCAUAAAAUAUGCUACCGUGAAGUUAAGGACCUGGUUUUUCUUAUAGAUUUUAAAUAGAAUAUUUACAUUUAGGUGUUUUGUACAACCCCCCACCCCACCCCAUGCAGAUUCAUACAAACAAUUCAAAAUAAAUUAAAAAAAUAAAACAACCCAGAGGGCUUAUGAGAAAAAAUAGAGUUAAAGUUAAGAGCAAAACACCAACUCUUUGUCAUCCAUGCAUACACACGCACAUAUGGGAGCGCGCGCACACACACACACACACACACACACAACCAACAAAGCAAAAAAUAGGUAAACAGAAAUGGCUCAUGUCAAAUAAUUGAGAAGUAAAUUCUAUAGUAAGUUGACUCAGAAGCAAGCUCCGACAUUUGCUUGUGGACUAAAUGCUUUGACAGUAUCAGGAAGGGUUUCAUGUGUGGUUCAGUGCGUGUCCCGUGUGUAUGCAGUAGAAGAAGUCAAGCUGUGUGACAGGAACAGAAAGUGGGUGGGAAUGGAUGGCCAAACCCAGGAAGCUGGCCAUGAGGGUGAGGGGUGCAUCAGCCAUUCUGCACAGGUGACCUGGGCCUGGUGGCUGCUGGGUAAAUCUCUCUGUAUCUACCUUGUGAUGCUCAAGGAUGAGUUCGAGGACAAGCAACUGUGAAGGUCAUGCAGCUCAAAUAAUCGGGUCGGAGAUUUUUAAAGCGUCGGAGAUUUUUAAAGCGACUCAUUAAGAAAACACACCUCUUUGCUUUUGUUGGUGCCUCUGGGGCUCCAUGACACAAGGUUCCAUGACACAGAUGGAGGUAGCCAGGUUUCUACAAUCGAAGCCAGAUAGAAAUAGCUCAAGGUGAGUCAGAAGAAAUACUGUAGGAUCCAUUGACCAUGUGAGAAGCAUUUUCCUUCACUUUGACAGUUAUGAGCUGUGGGGAGGGCGAGUGGGGGAGAUGGGAAAGGUUCGGGGCAGAGUGAAGGAUAGGGGAUAGGGGUGGGGAGUGUUGUGGGGAAUCAGUGUUCAUUCUGUCAAGUGUUCCACCCUCUCACAUGCUUGAGUUCACAGAUUUUCACACUGUCUUCAGUGAGGAGCAAGGGCGGGCUUCCGGCAUGCUGAUGGAAAGUUCUACCACUUCACUACUGACUGAUUAUGCAGUGACAGAGCUAAGUCCAGGUCUUCGACUGAGCAUGGUGAGUGCUCUGCAGAAAAGCCAUAAUACAGAGAGUCACAGCAUGCAUAUCAGUGGACACUGGAGAAUGUCAUGCACUCUUGAGUUUGACAAUGCCUUAUGUUUCUGCUGAGAAAAAGGUGAGCUGGACUGCAGUAACUCUGAGUUCGUGCAUGGCUGGAUCUGGAAGACACAUCCACAGAAGUCACACUUGAGCAUGAAGGUCUGAAUAGUACUCAAUAAUGAAAAAACAUCCCAGAUGUGUCAGGACUGUCCUGUGACCAAGUCACGCAAGGACUCGGAAAGCUUCUUCAGAAAAACAGCUGCAGAGAUAACACAGAGCAAUCACUGUUCAACAAGGAUUUCUUCAAGAUGUCAUAUUUCUGGUUGGUCCUGAAGGAGAAGAAUAGAGUAUCGCUUACACGUGCCCAUGAAACAUAAAUAUCUGGUUGCAUGUGAGAUGUCCUGGACCAGAGAUCUGCAAGCAGACGUGGAGGUGUGUCAGACACAUGGGUGCUAUGACAGGAAUGCUCUCUCUUAUGCUUGCGCUGAGGCUCUCUGGGUCAUUUUCCCCGGAGCAGUUUACAGAGGUGUAUACUGAGGUUGUACUGCUGUGAAACUCUUUUAAAACUGCAUGAUCUUCAGCAAGGCAUCCGGGCAUUGGUAUAUAGAGAGCUGCGGCUACAGCUGCGGCUAAGGUGAAGGCAAAAAACACAGAGAUGUCCAUGGCCAAGGCCCAGAGCAGAGUGAAUUCUCCACCUGGACCCAGCAGUGCUGCCCGCUUUGGCACACAGGUCAUGGAAUAUGUAUUCUUUCCUGUCGCCAGAUGUUCCUAAGUGGGCCCUGCCUGUAGCUCCUCCCUCAUCUCUGUACUGGGAUCCUGAAAUUUUACCAAGAUCUAUAACUGAUUUAGUGGCUUCAGCGUUUGGAGAUUCUUGGCUUAAGUCACAAGGAUGGGACUCAUCUCACCACUGAACCAGUCAGGAGUCAACUCUACUCUGCAUAACAAGUAUCCUACUUUCUUGGCAAUAGAAUGGAGUAAGUAGUUUCCACCUGGAGCCAAAAACUAACUGGAAGAAACUGGAGGCUUGUGUGGACAGACGGUCCAGCUUGUGAGGCGCUUGCUGUGCAAGCCUGAGGACUUGUGUUAGAUCCCCAGGCAUUCCUGUAAAUGUCUGAUUACGAGUACAUAUGUGCAAUCCCAGCACAAGGUGGCAGAGAAGUGGAUCCCUAUCGUGUGCUUGCCAUGCAGCACAACACUCAGUGAGCUCCAGGACAACUAGAGAGGCCCCCAUCUCAAACAAACAAACAAACAAACAGACAGACAGACAGACAGACAGACACACAAACAAACAACCCAGCGCGUGCGCACAUGCACACACACACACACACACACACACACACACACACACACACACACACUCACAUACAUACAAGGUGCAUGGUGUCCAAGGAACAGCACCUUACCCUUGUCUGUUGUUUACAUGCACACUUGUGUACACACACACAAAUGCACAUCUGCAUACACAAAUAAAGAUAGGACUGGGGUUAGAAAAAGAGGAUUGAACAAUAUGCUUUGGUUUCUUGUGAGAAGAGAAAGAAAAUAAAAGCAAAAACAAA